rnacentral:rRNA from 1 species
AUACGGAGGGUGCAAGCGUUAUUCGGAAUCACUGGGCGUAAAGGACGCGUAGGCGGGUUGGCAAGUCAGAUGUGAAAUCCUACAGCUUAACUGUAGAACUGCAUUUGAAACUGCUAACCUAGAGUAUGGGAGGGGGAGAUGGAAUUAGUGGUGUAGGGGUAAAAUCCGUAGAUAUCACUAGGAAUACCGAAAUCGAAGGCGAUCUCCUGGAACAUAACUGACGCUAAGGCGUGAAAGCGUGGGGAGCAAACAGGAUUAGAUACCCUAGUAGUCC